UACGUAGGGGGCAAGCGUUGUCCGGAAUCAUUGGGCGUAAAGAGCGCGUAGGCGGUCCGGUAAGUCCGCUCUGAAAGUCCGGGGCUCAACCCCGGGAGGCGGGCGGAUACUGUCGGGCUAGAGUCCGGAAGAGGCGAGUGGAAUUCCUGGUGUAGCGGUGAAAUGCGCAGAUAUCAGGAGGAACACCAAUGGCGAAGGCAGCUCGCUGGGAUGGUACUGACGCUGAGGCGCGAAAGCGUGGGGAGCAAACAGG
rnacentral:rRNA from 1 species